rnacentral:rRNA from 1 species
CUCUUUGAGGCCGGUUAUCGGAAUGGGUACAAUUUAAACCCGUUAACGAGGAUCUAUGAGAGGGCAAGUCUGGUGCCAGCAGCCGCGGUAAUUCCAGCUCUCAAAGUGUAUAUCGUCAUUGCUGCGGUUAAAAAGCUCGUAGUUGGAUCUGCGCCUCAGGACUUGGUCCGCCCACUGGGCGAGAACUAGGCUCCUGGGCUAGUUCUGCUGGUUUUCUCUACGUUGCCUUCAUCGGUCGCGUAGGGUGGCUAGCGAGUUUACUUUGAAAAAAUUAGAGUGCUUCACGCGAGCUUAUGUCUGAAUACUCGUGCAUGGAAUAAUAGAAUAGGAUCUCGGUUCUAUUUUGUUGGUUUUCUGAUCUGAGAUAAUGGUUAAGAGGGACGGACGGGGGCAUUCGUAUCGCUGCGUGAGAGGUGAAAUUCUUGGACCGUAGCGAGACGCCCGACUGCGAAAGCAUUUGCCAAGAAUGUCUUCAUUAAUCAAGAACGAAAGU